GCGGAUUUAGCUCAGUUGGGAGAGCGCCAGACUGAAGAUAAACUUCAGUCACUAGAAAUCUGGAGGUCGUGUGUUCGAUCCACACAAUUCGCA
rnacentral:tRNA from 1 species